UGAGUGACAUUACAAUAUGUUGCCAAAAUGUUGAUAUUGGACUCCUUGGAGGAGCAGGCUUAGGUUCCAUUGUGAUAUGUGAGUCAAUAGCCAAUGGGAAUUGAAGUUGUAUCUAAAAUGACAAGCAAAUGAAGGUACAGCUUUCAAAUUCUAAAGGUUGAUGACCCUCUCAGGAAAGACCAAAGUUGACACAGGAAAGAACGGUGGAUUUCCGGGUAUACAAAAGACUAAAGAAAUCCAGGACCCCAUUGCCCAACUGUUGAACUAAGGUGUGAGCCACGCAGACGUCUGGCUAGAACUGGUAAAACAGCGACCCCGUGUGGUCAGACAGAAGCACAGCCCAGCGC